GACGAACGCUGGCGGCGUGCCUAAUACAUGCAAGUCGAACGCAGUGGGGACGGGUGAGUAACACGUGGGUAACCUCCCAUCAGAGGGGAUAACACUUGGAAACAGGUGCUAAACCGAUACUGAUGGAUGGACCCGCGGUGCAUUAGCUAGUUGGUGAGGUAACGGCUCACCAAGGCCACGAUGCAUAGCGGCUCGGGGAGGGGUCCCGGCCACACGGGGACUCGGACAGGGCCCAGACUCCGACGGGAGGCAGCAGUAGGGAAUCUUGGGCAAUGGACGAAAGUCUGACCGAGCAACGCCGCGUGAGUGAAGAAGGUUUUCGGAUCGUAAACCUCUGUUGUUAGAGAAGGGGUAUCUAACCAGAAAGCCACGGCUAACUACUUGCCAGCAGCCGCUGUAAUUC
rnacentral:rRNA from 1 species